rnacentral:rRNA from 1 species
GCUGGCGCGUGCUAUAAUGCAGUCGAGCGGACAGAUGGGAGCUUGCUCCCUGAAGUCAGCGGCGGACGGGUGAGUAACACGUGGGCAACCUGCCUGUAAGACUGGGAUAACUCCGGGAAACCGGGGCUAAUACCGGAUAAUUCUUUCCCUCACAUGAGGGAAAGCUGAAAGAUGGUUUCGGCUAUCACUUACAGAUGGGCCCGCGGCGCAUUAGCUAGUUGGUGAGGUAACGGCUCACCAAGGCAACGAUGCGUAGCCGACCUGAGAGGGUGAUCGGCCACACUGGGACUGAGACACGGCCCAGACUCCUACGGGAGGCAGCAGUAGGGAAUCUUCCGCAAUGGACGAAAGUCUGACGGAGCAACGCCGCGUGAGUGAUGAAGGUUUUCGGAUCGUAAAACUCUGUUGUUAGGGAAGAACAAGUACCGGAGUAACUGCCGGUACCUUGACGGUACCUAACCAGAAAGCCACGGCUAACUACGUGCCAGCAGCCGCGGUAAUACGUAGGUGGCAAGCGUUGUCCGGAAUUAUUGGGCGUAAAGCGCGCGCAGGCGGUUCCUUAAGUCUGAUGUGAAAGCCCCCGGCUCAACCGGGGAGGGUCAUUGGAAACUGGGGAACUUGAGUGCAGAAGAGAAGAGUGGAAUUCCACGUGUAGCGGUGAAAUGCGUAGAGAUGUGGAGGAACACCAGUGGCGAAGGCGACUCUUUGGUCUGUAACUGACGCUGAGGCGCGAAAGCGUGGGGAGCAAACAGGAUUAGAUACCCUGGUAGUCCACGCCGUAAACGAUGAGUGCUAAGUGUUAGAGGGUUUCCGCCCUUUAGUGCUGCAGCAAACGCAUUAAGCACUCCGCCUGGGGAGUACGGCCGCAAGGCUGAAACUCAAAGGAAUUGACGGGGGCCCGCACAAGCGGUGGAACAUGUGGUUUAAUUCCAAGCAACGCGAAAAACCUUACCAGGGCUUGGAUCUCCCGGAAACCCUAAGAAAAGGGGGUCCCCUU